CCGGCUGCGGGAUUGCGGGGUCCGCCGCGGCCUCCGCUCCCGCCCGGCGCCCAACGUGGCCCCACCGCCGCUUCGCUAGGGCCGCGCCGCUGCAGCCUCCGGAGCCGGUGGGGAGCCCGGCGGGCGGGAGAGCCCGGAAGGAGCCCCGGGCGCCGAGGCCCCCGCCGGCGCCGGCGCCGACGCCGCCCGCCAGGAGCAGCCGGCCUGCUCCGGGUGACUGCAGCCGCGCGGUUCCGAGGCGACUCCUUCUCCAACAUGAGCGGAUCCCUGCCGCCCCCAGUGCGCGUAGCCCGGCAGCGCCUAAUGGAUUACUGCAGCCGCCCUGGCCGACCGCCGCCUCCUGCUCGGCAGCCUCCGGGUUCGGGACCAUGAGAGACUGCCGCUGCCUCCCCAGCUCGCACAGGUGCAGCUCCGCUGCCGCCCACGCUUCUGUUAACAGCUUGCAGCUAAUUAGCAGCCCGCCCUAUUAACAAGUUUCGGCGAGCAUCGCUUUCUGCUGGAACCAACCUGCUAAACACCAAAGCAAACGCGGUUCUCCUCCGCAGCCCAGCCUAGCUUAACCCGGUCCAGCCUGGUCCAACC
rnacentral:lncRNA from 1 species